GGUUAAGCGACUAAGCGUACACGGUGGAUGCCCUGGCAGUCAGAGGCGAUGAAGGGCGUGCUAAUCUGCGAUAAGCGCCGGUAAGGUGAUAUGAACCGUUAUAACCGGCGAUACCCGAAUGGGGAAACCCAGUGUGACUCGUCACACUAUCAUUAACUGAAUCCAUAGGUUAAUGAGGCGAACCGGGGGAACUGAAACAUCUAAGUACCCCGAGGAAAAGAAAUCAACCGAGAUUCCCCCAGUAGCGGCGAGCGAACGGGGAGGAGCCCAGAGCCUGAAUCAGCAUGUGUGUUAGUGGAAGCGUCUGGAAAGGCGCGCGAUACAGGGUGACAGCCCCGUACACAAAAGCGCAUGUGCUGUGAGCUCGAUGAGUAGGGCGGGACACGUGGUAUCCUGUCUGAAUAUGGGGGGACCAUCCUCCAAGGCUAAAUACUCCUGACUGACCGAUAGUGAACCAGUACCGUGAGGGAAAGGCGAAAAGAACCCCGGCGAGGGGAGUGAAAAAGAACCUGAAACCGUGUACGUACAAGCAGUGGGAGCCCCACCACUAAGCCAGUGGUGAACUCCACAUACGCAUCCUUUGCUGAGGAUACGGUUAACGGAGCGAAAGCGACGUUCAACCGCAAAAGAAGCAGAGGGGGCUUAGUGGUGGGGUGACUGCGUACCUUUUGUAUAAUGGGUCAGCGACUUAUAUUCUGUAGCAAGGUUAACCGAAUAGGGGAGCCGGAGGGAAACCGAGUCUUAAUUGGGCGUUAAGUUGCAGGGUAUAGACCCGAAACCCGGUGAUCUAGCCAUGGGCAGGUUGAAGGUUGGGUAACACUAACUGGAGGACCGAACCGACUAAUGUUGAAAAAUUAGCGGAUGACCUGUGGCUGGGGGUGAAAGGCCAAUCAAACCGGGAGAUAGCUGGUUCUCCCCGAAAGCUAUUUAGGUAGCGCCUCGUGAAUUCAUCUCCGGGGGUAGAGCACUGUUUCGGCUAGGGGGCCAUCCCGGCUUACCAACCCGAUGCAAACUGCGAAUACCGGAGAAUGUUAUCACGGGAGACACACGGCGGGUGCUAACGUCCGUCGUGAAGAGGGAAACAACCCAGACCGCCAGCUAAGGUCCCAAAGUCAUGGUUAAGUGGGAAACGAUGUGGGAAGGCCCAGACAGCCAGGAUGUUGGCUUAGAAGCAGCCAUCAUUUAAAGAAAGCGUAAUAGCUCACUGGUCGAGUCGGCCUGCGCGGAAGAUGUAACGGGGCUAAACCAUGCACCGAAGCUGCGGCAGCGACGCUGAUGCGUUGUUGGGUAGGGGAGCGUUCUGUAAGCCUGCGAAGGUGGCCUGUGAGGGUUGCUGGAGGUAUCAGAAGUGCGAAUGCUGACAUAAGUAACGAUAAAGCGGGUGAAAAGCCCGCUCGCCGGAAGACCAAGGGUUCCUGUCCAACGUUAAUCGGGGCAGGGUGAGUCGACCCCUAAGGCGAGGCCGAAAGGCGUAGUCGAUGGGAAACGGGUUAAUAUUCCCGUACUUGGUGUUACUGCGAAGGGGGGACGGAGAAGGCUAUGUUGGCCGGGCGACGGUUGUCCCGGUUUAAGCGUGUAGGUGUGUGUUCCAGGUAAAUCCGGUUCACUUUAACACUGAGGCGUGACGACGAGGCACUACGGUGCUGAAGCAACAAAUGCCCUGCUUCCAGGAAAAGCCUCUAAGCAUCAGGUAACACGAAAUCGUACCCCAAACCGACACAGGUGGUCAGGUAGAG
rnacentral:rRNA from 1 species